rnacentral:rRNA from 1 species
AUUGAACGCUGGCGGCAGGCUUAACACAUGCAAGUCGAGCGGGGUGAUGGUGCUUGCACUAUCACUUAGCGGCGGACGGGUGAGUAAUGCUUAGGAAUCUGCCUAUUAGUGGGGGACAACAUCUCGAAAGGGAUGCUAAUACCGCAUACGUCCUACGAGAGAAAGCAGGGGAUCACUUGUGACCUUGCGCUAAUAGAUGAGCCUAAGUCGGAUUAGCUAGUUGGUGGGGUAAAGGCCUACCAAGGCGACGAUCUGUAGCGGGUCUGAGAGGAUGAUUCGCCACACUGGGACUGAGACACGGCCCAGCAUCCUACGGGAGGCAGCAGUGGGGAAUAUUGGGCAAUGGGGGGAACCCUGAUCCAGCCAUGCCGCGUGUGUGAAGAAGGCCUUAUGGUUGUAAAGCACUUUAAGCGAGGAGGAGGCUCUUUUGGUUAAUACCCAAGAUGAGUGGACGUUACUCGCAGAAUAAGCACCGGCUAACUCUUUGCCAGCAGCCGCCGUAA